CGUGGGCAACCUGCCCUGGAGUGGGGAAUAACAGCUGGAAACAGCUGCUAAUACCGCAUAAUGCAGUUGGGCCGCAUGGCUCUGACUGCCAAAGAUUUAUCGCUCUGGGAUGGACUCGCGUCUGAUUAGCUAGUUGGUGGGGCAACGGCCCACCAAGGCGACGAUCAGUAGCCGGACUGAGAGGUUGGCCGGCCACAUUGGGACUGAGACACGGCCCAGACUCCUACGGAAGGCAGCAG
rnacentral:rRNA from 1 species